rnacentral:rRNA from 1 species
AUUGAACGCUGGCGGCAGGCCUAACACAUGCAAGUCGAGCGAGCGGCGGACGGGUGAGUAAUGUAUGGGGACUGCCCGAUAGAGGGGGAUAACUACUGGAAACGGUGGCUAAUACCGCAUACUAUCGGAUAACCCAGAUGGGAUUAGCUAGAAGGUGGGGUAAAGGCUCAACUAGGCGACGAUCUCUAGCUGGUCUGAGAGGAUGAUCAGCCACCCUGUGACUAAGAAACGGCCCAGACUCCUACGGAGGCAGCAGUGGGGAAUAUUGCCCAGUGGGCGCAAGCCUGAUGCAGCCGUGCCGAGUGUAUGAAGAAGGCCUUAGGGUUGUAAAGUACUUUCAGCGGGGAGGAGUUACCCGCAAAAGAAGCACCGGCUAACUCCGUGCCAGCAGCCGCGGUAGUUC